rnacentral:sRNA from 1 species
UUUCUCAGUUCCCCUUAUAUAUUCGUUCUUUCAUUAAAUUCUAGGAUCAAUUUGAUGCUGUACAGAGUCUAUUUCUGGGAGCCAAUGACUUAGGAAUAUUGAAUUUUCCAAACUCAGUAACACGGCUUAACUGAUCCUCAGAAUAAACCACCGGACCACCAUCUAACUGAUGGAUCGGGCACCUCAGUCCUCAGCUGUAGCCUAUACAAGGUGUCCCUGCUGUGAGCUAGGAGCCCACAAAGAGUUCUGCCGGAGACGGGUGUUCAUCAGAAGGUGAAAUCACCUUUGCGUUUUGAUCCAUGGCUUCCAAAGAUAGAAGAGAUGAUUGGUUUUCCCCGAGAUUCAAAUGAUACCGGCAUCCCGAACGAUGCUCAGAGAAUGUCGCUUUAAACAACAAAAUGAAGGCGUCCAUUGAUGGAUCUCCCACCCUUGCUGCUCCUGGCAGCGUCGCGUCGCUUUGGCUUGUGAAGAGGGCCGUGCCAGGAUUUCCUGCUCCACACCUGCCUUUGGAGGGGGCUGCAUGUGAGGAUUCUGUCAGGCCACCGCAGGCCUGGUGUAGACCAAGAUGCGUUCAAUGUACGGAGAUGAUGGAGUCAAGAG